AUGCCUCGUAUUGGGGAACCGGGGGCAAAUCCACUUGGAAGAGUCGGGUCUGAGCUCGGAUUUCUUGCUGCCAGCGUUGUGGUGCGCUACAUCCAGCGGGAGUACGUCAGGCCCGUACUAGUGCCGGACUUGCUCCCUCUGCUCAUGCAAUUCGGAGCUGAAGUGACAAGCUUAACUUGCUGGUGCUACGCCUCUAUGUUUUUUGUCCUCGACGCAAUCGACUCGCCAUAUGCAAGGACGUGGCCAUGA
rnacentral:rRNA from 1 species